rnacentral:rRNA from 1 species
GAGCGGUAACGGGAAGAAGCUUGCUUCUUUGCCGACGAGCGGCGGACGGGUGAGUAAUGCUUGGGAACAUGCCUAGAGGUGGGGGACAACAGUUGGAAACGACUGCUAAUACCGCAUAAUGUCUACGGACCAAAGGGGGGGCUCUUCGGACCUCUUGCCUUUAGAUUGGCCCAAGUGAGAUUAGCUUGAUGGUGGGGUAAAGGCCUACCAUGGCGACGAUCUCUAGCUGGUUUGAGAGGAUGAUCAGCCACACUGGGACUGAGACACGGCCCAGACUCCUACGGGAGGCAGCAGUGGGGAAUAUUGCACAAUGGGGGAAACCCUGAUGCAGCCAUGCCGCGUGUGUGAAGAAGGCCUUCGGGUUGUAAAGCACUUUCAGUAAGGAGGAAAGGGUGCAGGUUAAUACCCUGUAUCUGUGACGUUACUUACAGAAGAAGCACCGGCUAACUCCGUGCCAGCAGCCGCGGUAAUACGGAGGGUGCGAGCGUUAAUCGGAAUUACUGGGCGUAAAGCGUGCGUAGGCGGAUUGUUAAGCGAGAUGUGAAAUCCCGGGGCUCAACCUCGGAACUGCAUUUCGAACUGGCAGUCUAGAGUAUUGUAGAGGGUGGUGGAAUUUCCAGUGUAGCGGUGAAAUGCGUAGAGAUUG